rnacentral:rRNA from 1 species
UGCGUAGGCGGAAUAUUAAGUCAGUGGUGAAAUCCUGCGGCUCAACCGUAGAACUGCCAUUGAUACUGAUAUUCUUGAAUGUAGUUGAGGUAGGCGGAAUGUGUAAUGUAGCGGUGAAAUGCUUAGAUAUCACACAGAACACCGAUUGCGAAGGCAGCUUACUAAACUAUGAUUGACGCUGAUGCACGAAAGCGUGGGGAGCGAACAGGAUUAGAUACCCUGGUAGUCC